GAUCUGAGUGAGGGCUCUGGGUCAACCUCCCACCCGUGUUUAUUGUACCUUGUUGCUUCGGUGCGCCCGCCUCACGGCCGCCGGGGGGCUUCUGCCCCCGGGUCCGCGCGCACCGGAGACACUAUUGAACUCUGUCUGAAGAUUGCAGUCUGAGCAUAAACUAAAUAAGUUAAAACUUUCAACAACGGAUCUCUUGGUUCCGGCAUCGAUGAAGAACGCAGCGAAAUGCGAUAACUAAUGUGAAUUGCAGAAUUCAGUGAAUCAUCGAGUCUUUGAACGCACAUUGCGCCCCCUGGUAUUCCGGGGGGCAUGCCUGUCCGAGCGUCAUUGCUGCCCUCAAGCACGGCUUGUGUGUUGGGCUCCGUCCCCCCGGGGACGGGUCCGAAAGGCAGCGGCGGCACCGAGUCCGGUCCUCGAGCGUAUGGGGCUUUGUCACCCGCUCUGUAGGCCCGGCCGGCGCCAGCCGACAACCAAUCAUCCUUUUUUCAGGUUGACCUCGGAUCAGGUAGGGAUACCCGCUGAACUUAAGCAUAUCAUAAGCCCGGAGGAAU
rnacentral:rRNA from 1 species